AAACCUUGGCCGUAAAAGCUUUUAAUCACGUGACCAUGAUAUUUUAGGCCCGAGCGGUGUUCAGGUCGUAAAACCAGCGUAAAAGCGAGUUGAGCAGUGUUCAAAUUUCGAGGCGAAUACGGCCGUAAAACGGUACUAUCCAUCAAUCAGAAGUUAGUGAAAUCUAGGUCAUUGUGAUGGUGCGAAAAUGGCGGAAAACGAGCUUUUGUGUACGAUCCCUCGUGGCUGCUCUAGAAUUGAUCUGGAAAGAAUUAUCGAAAACAUCCGAAAGUGUUCGUGUAUCUACGACAAGAAGUAUCCCGAUUAUAAUAAUGGACGCCUAAAACACGCCAUAUGGGAAAAAAUCCUUCAAUUUAGCCCGGAUUCGAUCCCAAAUCCUCCAGACAGGUGGGCCAAGACCUCUACUGCCACGACCAUCACCCUUUUAAUCAUUAUUACACAGGGACUAAUUCAAAAAUUAAAAAUAUAAAAUUAAUCAUUAAAAUUUCUAUCUACUUCAAUUAACGCGUAACAAUGAAUCUCAACAAUUGAUCUUUUCAUUGUUUUGCUCUUUUGUUGCUAAGAGUGCGAUUUCGAGUGAUUGAAAAAUGUUUUUUGAUUCUGGCCAUUAUCGACCCUUGCGUCCACCCUUGGGAAAAUUGAUCAAAUUGAAAUUCGUUUGAUUCUCGGCAAUUCUCAUCAUUCUCAGCGGUAGGUGUUAUAUAACAAUUAUUAUGGUUGUUGAAAUACUGUAUAUAAAUGAGGUUUGCUUCCAAAAUCCGGGCAGGCAAAGCCGCAGGUAACAGCUAGUUAAUUCAUAAAAGUAGCUUAAAUAUUUCACAUAAAAAAUUUUAUAAAUAAGCAUAUUCAUUGUUUCGAUCUACAUUGUUAAAGAAACAAUAUUUAUCGGAAGACAAUGAAAAAUAUUGUUUCGGUAUUGUAAAAGAUUUACUUGGCAAUUAUUUCCGAGUCUAAUCGUUUGGACUUUCGCAAGGCUAUGGACUUUCUAUUAGUACAAUGGUUGAGUGCCCAGGAGCACGCCGUGCACUUCCGUGGGACCCGGGAACUCAACCGUUGUAGCAAUUGAAAGUCUAUAUCCUUGCGAAUUCCCAAACGAUAGAUUUGGAAAUCAUCGCUAAAUAAAGCUCUUACAAUACAUACACUUCGCGCGCGAUCCAGUUUUUCUCUCUACUUGCUACGCUGUCUAGCAAGUAGGGUUGGUUUCUGGAAACAAAAAAAAA